AUGCCUCCUCGGAGCCUGCUCUGUGUGCUGGUGGCCCUGGCUUGGUCUGGAUGUAAUAUGGCCCAGAAAGUGACUCAGGUUCAGUCAACAGCAAGCAGGCAGGAGGGGGAAGAAGUCACCCUGGACUGUUCAUAUGAGACAAGUCAGAACGUAUAUGAUCUUUUCUGGUACAAGCAGCUUCAUAGUGGAGAGAUGGUUUUCCUUAUCCGCCAACCUUUUUUUGAUUCUCAGAACCAGAGGAGCGGCCGCUAUUCUGUAGUCUUCCAGAAAUCACUCAAGUCCAUCAGCCUUGUCAUUUCAGCCUCUCGACCAGAGGAUUUGGGGAAGUAUUUCUGUGCUCUCAGUGAAUUGACACAGUGUUUGAAGUGA